AUCUAUUUUUCUCCAACACCGACUGAUUCUUUCUCUUCUUCUUCGCGGCGACCUCUGUUUUCCCCGAUUAGUCCCUCGAGGGCCAGGGAGAAGGAGAAGCUCCUAGAGAGGUCACUGCAAAACCCAAUUUCCAUCCCUCACUUCCUCUAGCAUAUUUACUGGUUAAAAUCUAGCUUGAAUCUUCCAUAAUCUAUGCCACUAAGCUUCCCGCUUAUCCUCUCUCCACUUCAAUGUCAAAGUCCCAUGGUCUUUGGCAAAGUUCCAGAGGAACUGGUAAUUUCCAAGAAAUUGGGGCAUCUCUUUGAAAGACGAUUGAGAGAGAGAGAGAGUAAAGAGAAGAGAGGAAGAAGGCAACAGAAGUCCCCUUCAUAAUCGACCACCAUGGCGGGCAAGCCGCAGGCGGUGCGUGUCCUCUACUGCGGCGUCUGCAACAUCCCUAUGGAGUAUUGCGAGUUCAGCCCUAACUUAGAGAAGUGCAAGCCUUGGCUCCGUACCCACGCUCCUGAUAUGUACCCUGAUCCUCAAAGACGCAGACAAAGAUGCCUAGCAGAUGAAGUCUGUGGCAAUUUUGGGUUCCACUGACGCAAGGGGAGAUGCUGGCAGGGCUCCUUCAGGUAGGUAGUGCUUCAGCAUCUAAGCAAGAAGAAGUAAAACGCCUUAUUGGUGGUAAGAUAAAGAAGAAGGUGAGUUAUGUAAAUUUCGUUUUGUUUUAUCUCAACUUAGGAGAUGCAAAUCAUGUCUUUUUGAGUUUUAUCAAAUAAAUAAUUGUCAUCUUUGACUAAGGAUAUUAUUAUGCACAAAGUUUAUUACUCUUAGAAAUAAUGUGUGUAUACCUCCAAACAUAUUUAUAUUUCAAAAUUUUCAAUUGACCAUACAAAGAGCUUCAGAGACUGAAUUAUUUAUUGUGACUUUGUGAAUUAUUCAUCUAUGAACAAAGUCAAAGAAUUUGAGAUUGAUUGCAAAAUGGAUACACAAUUCUUGUCUGGUGAUUAACUAACCUGUAUAAUGAAAAAUAUAUAUCCAUGCAUUUGAGCUUGUUGGUAAGCCUUCUGACUAGUUUAUCAGUGCCAGCUUAUCUCAAUCGUAAUCUCAAUAUUGGAUUAUUUUUGUUAUUUGUUUAACCUUUUAUGUUGUCAAGUGUAUAUCAAUAUAAAUUACCUAAAGGCCCUAUUCAUUGUUAUUCAUCUUGGCCCAUCUAGCUAAAAUGAACUAACUUGUCAAUUUACAUUUCUUCAUAUAUUGGUAACACACUAAGUCCAUCGAAUUAUCCAUUUAGUUAUUGGUUUCUUUUCAUGGUAUCGACUUCAUGCAAUCCUCCAUAGUUUUACUCAAAAUGGUUUAUUAAGUAGAGUUAGGACAGACUUCAAUUUGUGCAACAUUUUUAUGUUAUAAUGAUUAAAAUUGAUAGGUUCACUGUGAUCAUGAUUUUGUAGAAGAUCUAAAUUGUGGUAUGAUAGAGUUUGAAGCUUGAGUGAUGUGAAACCUUAGAUCAGGAGGAUAAUCAAUGUAAUUAGGUUUCCUAAAUCUAAAUCUUCACAUGUUUUAGUUAAUGUUGUAUUCUUAAUGAUUUUUGCAAUAAUAUGCUAAUUAGGAUUAGCUUAUUUUGAUCUAGGAGAAACAAGAACUUAUUAUUGAAAAGAUUGUUUGCAAUAAGUACAAAAGUGUUAUUGUUGUGAAAGGCCUUGAACUAUUUGGUGUAAAACUGAGUGAUGCAUCAAAGAAGCUGGGUAAAAAGUUUGCUAUAGGAGCUUAUGUUGUCAAGGGACCAACCGAGAAAGAAUAGAUUGAUGUGCAAGGAAAUUAUUGCUUACGAUAUUAUGAAAUUCAUUUAUAUGAUUCCUUACAGAGGUCUACAUUUCUGUACGGCCAUUAAGAUUUGCUAGAAGUUCAAUUACUAAUUUAGCACCAGAUUAUUUAGGAUAAAAGUUAUGUGAUUUGAAGUAGAAGGUCAGAGCUGCUAAUUUAGCACGAGAUCUGCUAGACUGUGGUUUCUAGUAUAUUUUAACCAGAUAGUAAGAUUUUGCUGCAUAAGAGGGUGAUUCAAUUGUUUAUUUUGAUUAGUUUUUUAUGAUUGGUUAAAUGAUGCACAUAUUGAGUUCUGUAUUUAUUGUUAAAAUGUAAAGUUAUGAUACUUGAUAUUUUUUAUUAAGCUUGGUGCAGCUUGUUAGUUG